UGAAACAAAUCUCUUGUCUGCUUUCUGCUUUAGGAGGUCACUGGCAAUUGGCAGUUGAUUCCGAUUAGGUUCAGCCCCCAGUACUGUGGGCCUGUUGUGAUCCCCCCCCCCCCACACACACACACACACAGUCACAUCACUGUUACAAUGUUUACUGUUUCCAACAUGAAUGUAUUGUAAUGUGCAGAACAAUGCCGGUCCGGUGGUUAAAGCUUGGAGAACUUUCCAGUUCAUCAGCCCCAUCAUCACCUACAUGCGUGGGGGAUCCCAGCAGGUGGUGGUGAGGAUGAACCACGUGAGUAGGGUGAGAGGCCUGGAGACUCAACUGGUGUGGGCCAUCUCCAAGGAGACAUCCAGGCUUAGUCCAGAGGGCAUCCCCUACUGUGCCACCAAAGUGCAGUCCAUCACUUGGAUCCAGCGUGUGGCUGGCAGGGUGACCCACUAUGCGUCUCACCUCCGCCACGAGACGUCUGUGGACAUGACGCUUGGCUGCAACCAGGUAAAUAAACGAUUUCCUAUGUAUAUAGACUAGACAUUACUGGGCAUUUUUGCAUUUGAUUUGGUGUGU
rnacentral:lncRNA from 1 species